rnacentral:rRNA from 1 species
GACGAACGCUGGCGGCGUGCUUAACACAUGCAAGUCGAACGGAAAGGCCCUGCUUGCAGGGUACUCGAGUGGCGAACGGGUGAGUAACACGUGGGUGAUCUGCCCUGCACUUCGGGAUAAGCUUGGGAAACUGGGUCUAAUACCGGAUAGGAACCAUCUUUAGCGUGGUGGUUGGAAAGUUUUUUCGGUGUAGGAUGAGCUCGCGGCCUAUCAGCUUGUUGGUGGGGUAAUGGCCUACCAAGGCGGCGACGGGUAGCCGGCCUGAGAGGGUGUACGGCCACAUUGGGACUGAGAUACGGCCCAGACUCCUACGGGAGGCAGCAGUGGGGAAUAUUGGACAAUGGGAGCAAGCCUGAUGCAGCGACGCCGCGUGGGGGAUGAAGGCCUUCGGGUUGUAAACUCCUUUCGCUAGGGACGAAGCUUUGUUGUGACGGUACCUAGAUAAGAAGCACCGGCUAACUACGUG